GGGGAAUUACGUGGUCUAUCAGUGCUGUUACAAUGGUGAUCAGCUUAUUCCACGUUCUUUGACAUCUUAGCAUCCUGUGUGUUGCCAAGCCAGAUAUACGUGGCACUGUCAGCAGAGCAUCCCUGUACCUAUACAUAGCCUUUGCAAAUUUUGUACCGUGAGUAGAGAGGCGCUGAGCACCUUUCAAAUCUGAUUAAUCUUGUCUGUCAGCAAAUAUAUUCUCUGUGCUUCACAGGAGAAGAAACAGAGGUAUAGAGAGACCAGUAUGUUUAGCUGUGAGGAAGGUCAAUGUUCAGACGACCUUCUGCUCUUAGGUUUGUGUACUUCAGCCAUGAAGCCAGUGGUUCCCAAAGUGCUGUGCGUGCUAAUUCAGGAGAGAUGUCCUUCUUCCUGGGAUUUUCCUCCACUGUAUAGCUCAGUGCACUGGGCAUAUUCCCUGCCUCAUGACCUGUGAAGAUGGAAAGAAUCUGGACCGUGCUUUUCUGUGCUUUGUUGCUGCCAAAGCAGCAGGUAGGACACUAGCAUGUCUUUUUGUACUGAGUGUCCUUUUACCUCAUAAAAGGCAAUGCGCCAUCUUAACGUGUGUCAUCUGUCUGCAGAGUGCAGUGCAUGCUUCUCAUUCCAUCUGGAAGCAAAAGCAACAUUUACACCUUUGUGUAAGCGUUAGAUUCCAAACACUAAGAAAGCCAGUGCCACUAAAAGCUUUCAUCCAAAUGGGGUUGGUUGCCUCCAAAGUUUGACUGCAUAGUAGUAUCAAGAAAAGACAAAAACAUUUUCCAUUUCAGGAUCAGAAAUUGAUGGCACAGUACACCAGCGCUCCAGCACCUUAGAGCUAAUCCUUGUCUCUAUCUUACCUUUAAUGUUCGGCUGUGAGACCGUCAGUUGCUAUCAGGACUACUUCCUUUUCCUUUCUCUUCCCAGCCCAAGUGACCAAACUUACCGUGUACUAAUGAAGCUAAUGUUCCUCUUACCUUUCACACACAACUAACGUGGGCUCUGAUCGUGCCGUCAGGUUUACGGUGUCCGUUCCAAAAGGGAACAAGCCUCCUAUGAUAUAAUCACCAGGCCUUCUAAACUGGGCCGAUAGGCAUGUGGGUUUGAGGGCUGCUGCAUAACCAAAGCUCAAGCACAGCAGCAGGUCACCUCACCAGGAGAUAACCAGGUCUUCCUUAGUGCAUUGCAAGAACUUGUCUGGAGCAGGCCAUUCCUGGAUUGCAAAUGAGGCAUCCUGAAUAGCUUUGCCGACUUGUCAGCUCCUUACUGGAAAAGGAAAGGGAGGGUGACCACGGACAGAGAA